AAGCACUUUUUUAGAACUCUUCGGAGGGAAGAGAGGGUGACUUAGCGGCGGACGGGUGAGUAACGCGUGGGCAACCUGCCUUACACAGGGGGAUAACAAUUAGAAAUGAUUGCUAAUACCGCAUAAGACCCCAGUACCGCAUGGUACAGGGGUAAAAACUGAGGUGGUGUAAGAUGGGCCCGCGUCUGAUUAGGUAGUUGGUGGGGUAGAAGCCUACCAAGCCGACGAUCAGUAGCCGACCUGAGAGGGCGACCGGCCACAUUGGGACUGAGACACGGCCCAAACUCCUACGGGAGGCAGCAGUGGGGAAUAUUGCACAAUGGGGGAAACCCUGAUGCAGCGACGCCGCGUGAGUGAGGAAGUAUUUCGGUAUGUAAAGCUCUAUCAGCAGGGAAGAAAAUGACGGUACCUGACUAAGAAGCCCCGGCUAACUACGUGCCAGCAGCCGCGGUAAUACGUAGGGGGCAAGCGUUAUCCGGAUUUACUGGGUGUAAAGGGAGCGUAGACGGAAUUGCAAGUCUGAUGUGAAAAUCCGGGGCCCAACCCCGGAACUGCAUUGGAAACUGUAUUUCUAGAGUGUCGGAGAGGCAAGUGGAGUUCCUGGUGUAGCGGUGAAAUGCGUAGAUAUUAGGAGGAACACCAGUGGCGAAGGCGGCCUGCUGGACGAUAACUGACGUUGAGGCUCGAAAGCGUGGGGAGCAGACAGGAUUAGAUACCCUGGUAGUCCACGCCGUAAACGAUGACUACUAGGUGUCGGGGAGCAAAGCUGCCCGGUGCCGCAGCCAACGCAAUAAGUAGUCCACCUGGGGAGUACGUUCGC
rnacentral:rRNA from 1 species